rnacentral:rRNA from 1 species
AGCGAACGCUGGCGGCAGGCCUAACACAUGCAAGUCGAACGGAUCCUUCGGGAUUAGUGGCGGACGGGUGAGUCACACGGGGGAACGUGCCCUUUGGUUCGGGACACCUCAUGGAAACGUGAGCUAAUACCGGAUGUGUCCUUCGGGGGAAAGAUUUAUCGCCAUUGUAGGGGCGCGCGUCCUUUUAGCUAGUGGGUGAGGUAACGGCCCACCAAGGCGACGCUAAGUAGCUGGUCUGAGAGGAUGAUCAGCCACACUGGGGCUAAGACCCGGCCCAGACUCCUACGGGAGGCAGCAGUGGGGAAUCUAGCGAAAUGGGGGAAAGCAUGAAGCAGCCAUGCCGGGUAAAUGAUGAAGGUCGGAGGAUAGUAAAAUUCUUUAAGCGGGGACGAUAAUGACGGUACCCAAAGAAGAAGCUCCGGCUAACUUCGUG